AUUUUAUUUUCUCUCCCCUUUUUUAUUAUUUAUAUUUUUAGCUGAAAAGACGUAAAGGCAGUCAGCCCAGUGGUGUUUCUGGAGAGGGAUUCCUUCAGAAAUGGAGAAGACAGAAAGCUGCGGAGGCAGAUAUUUGCAGCAGUCUAAAAUAUCGAGCUCAACAGCUAUUUUAAGAGCCAACCCUCACAAACCUUCCUAAAACCUAAAAGAGCUAUUACUGAGUCUCAGCGAAUCUUGCCAUGAUCAGCUCUUCCCAGAAGAGAAGGAAGACCAAGGAAAUGAUUUGCUCAGGAUGAGGAAUGAAGACGGCCAUCUUGAGCUCAAACAAACAGAAGUCCUCUGAUGAUCUCAUCAGCCAAAUGAGAGGUUUUGACCAAGUGAUGCUCUUGAAAGGAGUGAAAGAAGAGGAUGUGGUAAAUUGUCUUCAGAGAAAAAGCUUCUCAAAAGGUCUUAAAGCAGCUUGAAGAAUGGUCUGGGAUGUUAGGACUGAGAGAUCCUCUGGCUGAGAACAAGCUACACCACAUCAGUGCUGGAUAUCAACCACAAACUGUUUCCAGACACGAGAGAAGAAGAACACGAUGGGGAGAUGAAACCAGUUUAGAUGUGAUGAUGGGAAUCAUUAUUUUGUGGAACAGUAUCUCAUGUCUUAUAUGUAUCACAUGAUCUGUAUCACAGUUGACUGGAUGGGACUGUGUGACUUUUAAGGACAUUUCAUCACUCAUCUGUGUGAACUGAUUUAUAUAUGAGGUUAAUGUAUCUUUGAUGAUAAUUAUUUUCAUUGAAUCUUAUUUGUCUUGAUGCUACUUUAUCAACUUUAUAGUCUAUGCUUCAAUAAAAUGAAAAUGGUGAA